rnacentral:rRNA from 1 species
UACGUAGGGUGCGAGCGUUAAUCGGAAUUACUGGGCGUAAAGCGUGCGCAGGCGGUUUUGCAAGCCGGAUGUGAAAUCCCCGGGCUUAACCUGGGAAUGGCAUUUGGGACUGCAAGGCUGGAGUGCGGCAGAGGAGACUGGAAUUCCUGGUGUAGCAGUGAAAUGCGUAGAUAUCAGGAGGAACACCGGUGGCGAAGGCGGGUCUCUGGGCCGUAACUGACGCUGAGGAGCGAAAGCAUGGGGAGCGAACAGG